GGCUGGUCCAAGUGCAGUGGUAUUUACAACUGAUUGAUCACAACCAGUUACAGAUUCCUUUGUUCCUUCUCCACUCCCACUGCUUCACUUGACUAGCCUAAG
ensembl:misc_RNA Y_RNA Y RNA